CUUGUUCCUGGAAGACCAUGAUCAGAAGAAGGGAGAACUGAUGCUGGGAAACAACCGGUGUUCCCAGCCUGCUCUUCAGCUUUUUGCUUCCUGGAAUUCUGCUAUAUCCGACGUUGGCACCCACCCGGCCUGGCACACCGCCAAGCUCAGAGCUUCUCUGCUUGCUGCACCUGCUGCUGGACCGCACUCUACCCAGACACGAGGACCAUUCACCCCAUCACUUUACUUGAGUCUUCGUUCAAAUGUCACCCCUCCCAAAGCCUUUCCCUGGGUCCCGGUCCGCAGUCACCCCCACGGAACCCCACCACUCUGUCCUCAGCACCCGACUUCCUCUGUCUUUGCGGCACAGAGCGCAGCCUGCUGCUCUGUUGCACAUACUGACCACGUUCUCACACCUUGUCCCGCGCACUCACUAGGAAGUCAGCUGUGUGAAACAGGGACUUGGUCACCUUCGCUCUGCUGUGACCCACCGCCUGGGACACGGCCGCCGCAAAACGAACAGCGCUUUGCGUGCUCGCUUCCGCAGCACAUACGCUAAUAAAUAGCACUUUGUUGAAUUCUCUAAAUUUCUAGAUACAAAUAGAUCUAACACGACCUGAAUGAACUCGGCUUUUCUUCCUUCCUCCUCCUCCUCCUUCCCGGUUCUCCUCCUCAGUUCCGUGUACUCUGCGCGGCAGCCCUGCCAGCCCUGCUGGGACCCCGCUGCACCCCCAGCCCCGGCAGGGAUCGGGCCCUCUCUGCUGUCUGCGGCUGUAGUUCCAGACUUCCGGUGACCUGUUUUCUCUCCAGGAAGAGAGGAAAGACUGGAGGAGGGUGGAGGGGAGAUAAUGCAUUAUCU
rnacentral:lncRNA from 1 species